CGGCAGCACAGCAGUAGCAAUACUGUGGGUGGCGAGUGGCGGACGGGUGAGUAAUGCAUCGGGACCUACCUAGACGUGGGGGAUAACGUAGGGAAACUUACGCUAAUACCGCAUACGUCCUACGGGAGAAAGCAGGGGACCUUCGGGCCUUGCGCGGUUAGACGGACCGAUGUUCGAUUAGCUAGUUGGUAGGGUAAUGGCCUACCAAGGCGACGAUCGAUAGCUGGUCUGAGAGGAUGAUCAGCCACACUGGAACUGAGACACGGUCCAGACUCCUACGGGAGGCAGCAGUGGGGAAUAUUGGACAAUGGGCGCAAGCCUGAUCCAGCAAUGCCGCGUGUGUGAAGAAGGCCUUCGGGUUGUAAAGCACUUUUAUCAGGAGCGAAACGCUGUCGGCUAAUACCCGGCGGAACUGACGGUACCUGAGGAAUAAGCACCGGCUAACUUCGUGCCAGCAGCCGCGGUAAUACGAAGGGUGCAAGCGUUAAUCGGAAUUACUGGGCGUAAAGCGUGCGUAGGCGGUUUGUUAAGUCUGUUGUGAAAUCCCCGGGCUCAACCUGGGAAUGGCAAUGGAUACUGGCAAGCUAGAGUGUGAUAGAGGAUGGUGGAAUUCCCGGUGUAGCGGUGAAAUGCGUAGAGAUCGGGAGGAACAUCAGUGGCGA
rnacentral:rRNA from 1 species